rnacentral:rRNA from 1 species
GAUGAACGCUGGCGGCGUGCCUAAUACAUGCAAGUCGAGCGAACGGACGAGAAGCUUGCUUCUCUGAUGUUAGCGGCGGACGGGUGAGUAACACGUGGAUAACCUACCUAUAAGACUGGGAUAACUUCGGGAAACCGGAGCUAAUACCGGAUAAUAUUUUGAACCGCAUGGUUCAAAAGUGAAAGACGGUCUUGCUGUCACUUAUAGAUGGAUCCGCGCUGCAUUAGCUAGUUGGUAAGGUAACGGCUUACCAAGGCAACGAUGCAUAGCCGACCUGAGAGGGUGAUCGGCCACACUGGAACUGAGACACGGUCCAGACUCCUACGGGAGGCAGCAGUAGGGAAUAUUGCGCAAUGGGCGAAAGCCUGACGGAGCAACGCCGCGUGAGUGAUGAAGGUCUUCGGAUCGUAAAACUCUGUUAUUAGGAAAGAAAAUAUGUGUAAGUAACUGUGCACAUCUUGACGGUACCUAAUCAGAAAGCCACGGCUAACUACGUG